rnacentral:lncRNA from 1 species
AAGAAAUAAUAAAAAAAAAAUUAUACUUGCAAAACAUGUAGUGUGGGUCUUGAAUCAAGUAAUCAAGUUACUUCUGCCAGAUGCCUCUGACAGCACCCAAGAAGGUCUAGAUUUCUGGGGAUUACAUUCCCUGUGUGUAUCCAUCCACUUGUCUGUACUUGGUAUGUGUGUGCAAGGCAGGUUGCCUGCAGCCCACCCCUCCAGGACACAAUUCCUGGUGUUAAAAGGAAAUACUAAGGACAGCUUUUUUUUCCUCAACAUAUUUUUGUCUCAACAGUCUGAUGCUGAAGCAGACCUCCUCUGGAAAAGCAAGUCUGUUUCUUAUGCAGUUUAUCCCCAGCCCCCUCCCACCCUAGCCAUAUGCUUUUUCUAUCUAACUCCCAUCUCUUGGAUGCCAUAAGGUUUGGCAGAAUCUUGGCAUGGGGCUCAGAGAUCUGAAAUUAUGUUGGGUGUGAUGUCUGACCAUUCUCCCCUUGUCUGUCCAGCUUUACUUUCAGUGGUAAUGUGGGUAUGUCUGGUGAGAUGGGUUGUGAUCUGUUCCUCUAGUAGUUGGAACCAAUUGCAUCUCAUUGAUAUUGAUGUGCUAACUCUGAUUUAAACACUGCCUUUUAAUUUGAAGAAUUUUGCUGGGAAGGUGUUCUUAGCAUAUGUUCCCAAAUGACAUUAUUCUUCUGUAGCUGUAAUUCAGUGGGAACUAGAUUCAGCAGAGCUGGAUCGUUGCCCCUUGGAUGUGAUUUCCCUACCUACAAGAUGUAGUGCCACAGUGCUGGGCAUCACUGAUGAAUGGUUGUCCUUGUGUUACUUAAUACAGAAGAUGUGCUCUCAUUGCUGUGGCCCCAUGGCAUACACGCUUUGGGGAUCAGCUGUGAAACACUCUGGCAUACACGCUUUGGGGAUCAGCUGUGAAACACUCUGGAAAGACCACAAUGCUAGCUUCCAUCUUGUUUUCCUGACCUCUGCCUUCCUCAACAAUUGCUCGUUGGGAUCCCUGACAUAUUGCAGGGAUUCUCCACAUCCUGAGCUCACCAUGGUCCUUAAAAGGAAUUUAGCCUCUAACUCAGAUCCAGGCUGCAGCAGCGAGCUACCACUCUUGGUUUCUUCUUGACUUGACCCUGACCCUCACCCUGACCUACAUACUAUGGUCUGUUUGGUGCUAAGCAAAUUUUGAACCUAGCCACCACCAGGAGCUAGUUCAAGGUACCUAUGUAGCUCUUCAUUCUUUCAUUCAAUCAUUCACUCAUACAUUCAUGAAACAUUUGCUGGAUCCCUGCUCUCAGACAGAUUCUACCCCAAGCCCUGUGAAAGAGACAGAAAAGUAAGGGGACAAUUACACAGUAGUAUGAUAAAGUCCAAAUGAGAGGGAAGCACAAAAUGCUAUGAAAACAAAGAAGAGAUUUUUAUCCCAGUCAGGGGCUGAGCAGGAAGCAGAGAGGGGGGCUGUAGGGGGGAACUUCUGGGAAGAAAACUCAUGGAACCGAGUCCACACAUAAGUAGCCUCCAUUCAUGGGACUCGUUUCUGCCUUAGUUCUCUGCCUCCCACUCUACUGGCUGCCCCUUCUAAUUCUUCAUCUCCCCGUCUCAAGCUCAGUGAAUCUGGUUAGAACCUGAGUACCAUGCUUAACUCCCAUUGGCCCUCCCCUCCCCUCCAGGUGAUGGAAUAUUGCUCCUCACCACCAAUUGCCUGGGACCUUCCAAUGCCAGCUCUGCCAGCUCUUGCCUCCUGAGUAUUUGACCUCUGAGCCUUGACUCCCAUUGCUGAAUUAUCUUCCCGAGCACAGGCAUGUGGAGGAGCAGACUUGGGGAGCCUGGUCCUGAGCCCAUUAGCUUCCCCAGACCCCUUGUCUUUGGCCCCACCUUCCAACUGCUCCUCCCUGCUCAGAGUCCGUAUUUAACACCCAUCUCCUACAAGGUUCUAGCAUGCCUUACAUGUGAGCCCAACUGAACUGCAAGUAUAACUUACCUAUCUGUUGAAUGGGCUGAAUAUGGUAGAGUAAAAUCCAAAAAUAAUUUUUUUCUGCAGCCAGUACUCUUUAAACCAGCUCUAUUAGGAAUCCCGUUUCUCUUUGUGGAUAAUAUCUCAAACAGAGAUAUUAGCUCUUCUGGCAAUUUCAGGUAUCAGAGCAGACUCAUUUUUAGAGUAUUCCGAAGUUCAGCUUGAUUUAAGUUAAAAAUUCACUCUCUUUCCUAAGUCUGUUUGUCUUCCAAUCUCCAGCUCAGAGUAGGCUCAGGUUCAGUGUCCAACCUUGGAGAAGAGAAGUGUGGUCAGUUCCUGGACGCUGCCUCCCAGCUCUUGCUUUCUCUUCCCCCUUAGCCUCCUGCUUCUGAGGAGGAGGAAUAAGAGGGAAGUAUUAAUUCUUAUUGGACAGUUCCUGGCAUAUUUGGGUCUUGAUGUUCUCAGGGUGGCAGAUGCCCAAAUGCUCAGGGAGAGAGUCUGUGAGUCCUUGAAGCCAUGGCCCUGGCCCACCCAGGGUCUCUGGCAUGGCCGAUGCUACCUCUGGCUGGCUAACAUCCUCCCUCAGCUCUUGCCCAGAGGGAGAACCCCCAGACUCUUCCUGCUGGCCUCUCUUCAGCCUGUGACAGUCCUCCUGGGUCGGGGUCCUUUCCAGAGAACCCUAGUCUACUCCUGGGGGAGUCCACUUAAUUCAUGGGAAACCUCCACCCGCCAUGCCUCUCCCUCUAGUCUGCCAAAAGGGGGCUCCCUGUGGGUUGAGGUGGGGUGAGCACAUCCCACUUCCUUCCUUCAUGGGAGGGGAGGGGGUGUCACAUGCUUCCUGCCAGAUGAGCAACUCUCUCAAAAAUCACCACCUCUGCCUGCCCUAAGCUUGUCUAGGCUGAAGGUGGUGAUAAAGGAAGGGCUCUAGGACCCAUUUCUGGCCACCUGUUAGCUUCAGGCUUCAAAGAAAAUUCUGGGACAUGAGUGAUAUUCCCAUUUAACAGAGACACGACACACUGUGGGCUGUUUUAUUGAGAAAAAUAUGCUAGGCAGGCAUAGGCCAGCCUUGGAGGAACGUGGACUUGAACAGUUGGGAUUCAUGAACUGAGACCACCCCCCCAACUCCCCAGGGAAUUUCCUGUAGCUGCCAUGAGUCCCUUCCAGCACAUUUUCAGCCGUCGGAUCUGGAGGGAAACCAGUAGAGAGCAGGAAUCAAUGCUAGGUUGUUAGGUGGAUUCAAGUGACGCCUGCUGUCUGCUGUGGGCCAUAAACACGCCAUAAAGAGGAAACAGGCUCUGGACAAAAGCUGGUCAUGGUGACUGACAAUGUGUGUGCCACCAGGAAAUGGGACAUCAGUGGGACUGGCUUGACCUCCUGCCUGAGCCUCAACCUGUGAUGACUCAGAGCCUGUGGAGGGAGGAGGAGAGCAAUGGAGAGAGUGUGUGUUGAGAGUUAGUGUGCUUAAGAGAAACCCCACUAGAAGAGAUUUUGUCAGGAAGGGAAGGGAGGGGAGGGGGCAGGGAAAGAAGAAAAAGAACUAGAGAGAGAAAAAGAGAAAGCAUGUGAGAACGAAGGAGAGAUAAAGAGAAUGCAAAUCAAAGCAAGAGAGCUGGAAAGGAGAUAAAGACAGGGUGUGCUCCGGCCGCCCGGGGUUGGGGUGAGGGGCUAAAAGGGCCCCAUCCUAGCCUUCAAGGACAGGACAUGUGUGCCACCGCUUCAGUGGUUGCUGGGUUCUGGCUUCCCACACCCCCUCAUGGGACACGUAAUCUAAGUGACAAAGAACAUUAAUAUUAGGGUUCAAUGCCAGUGAUUCCAGGAAAGUGCAGACAAGGGCUCCCUGGAGAAGCAAGAAUUGAGCCUGGGGUGUGAAGAAGAAUUAGGAAAUUCCAUGACCAGGGAAGGAGCCUUUCAGGAGGAGGGAGCAGCAGCAGCUGCAGUGAAGGGACGUCGUUGGAAACAGAAGCCCUUACGCCCGGCAGCAGAGUCAACUGGACAGAGGCCAAGAGUUUGGUCAAGGGGUCAAGGGUCACCAAUACUUUGGCUGACCUCUUUGAAUUGGUUGCUUAACUUCUUUGACCUUUAAUAAUUUCCAAGCCACCCUGUGUAGCUGGAGUUCAGGCCCUGGCCCCUCUCCUGACCAGCCCCAGCGUUACAGUAUCCUGUGGUGAAGGACGUGCCUUGCAUCUGGCCAGCACCUCAGCCAACCUCCCCGGCCGUAUCUUUACCUUGCCCUCCCCUUCCCCCACCCCCCCGCUCCCUACUCCCGCUCCAGGUAGAUGGGAUGUCAGCAAAAAAUUUUCAGGUUUCUGUAGUCAGAGUGUGGCCUGCCUUCCCACCCUUGCGGUGGUGUUGAUCAGAACAGCCUUGGCAGAUAAAAGACAUUUGAUGAAGAUUCACUGAAUGAAGGAAUGCAGGAAAACGGAGAGGCUGACUUUGGAGUCAGAAAGCCUGGGUUUGAUGGCACCUUUAUCAUUUUCUCAUGAAAAACUUUAAGCAGGUCACUUACCUUCUCUGGGUCUGGUUUCUGGUUAGCUCCCCUAGUGAUGGUAAAGUCGAAUGAAAUCACUGCUAAGUAAUGCACAACUAUCAGCUGUUUAACAAAACUCUAAAGAAGUGGUGCUAAAAAAUACCUAGUGGAGUUCCUGUUGUGGCUCAGCAUGUUAAGAACCUGACUUAGUGUCUGUGAGGAUGAGGGUUUUAUCCCUGGUCUUGCUCAGUGAGUUAAGGAUCCAGCAUUGCCACAAGCUAUGUAGGUCACAGAUGCGGUUUAGAUCUAGCUGUUGCUGUGGCUGUGGCAUAGGCAGCCAGCU